rnacentral:rRNA from 1 species
GGCGGCGUGCUUAACACAUGCAAGUCGAACGAUGAACCACUUCGGUGGGGAUUAGUGGCGAACGGGUGAGUAACACGUGGGCAAUCUGCCCUUCACUCUGGGACAAGCCCUGGAAACGGGGUCUAAUACCGGAUACCACUCUCGCAGGCAUCUGUGAGGGUUGAAAGCUCCGGCGGUGAAGGAUGAGCCCGCGGCCUAUCAGCUUGUUGGUGAGGUAAUGGCUCACCAAGGCGACGACGGGUAGCCGGCCUGAGAGGGCGACCGGCCACACUGGGACUGAGACACGGCCCAGACUCCUACGGGAGGCAGCAGUGGGGAAUAUUGCACAAUGGGCGAAAGCCUGAUGCAGCGACGCCGCGUGAGGGAUGACGGCCUUCGGGUUGUAAACCUCUUUCAGCAGGGAAGAAGCGAAAGUGACGGUACCUGCAGAAGAAGCGCCGGCUAACUACGUGCCAGCAGCCGCGGUAAUACGUAGGGCGCAAGCGUUGUCCGGAAUUAUUGGGCGUAAAGAGCUCGUAGGCGGCUUGUCACGUCGGGUGUGAAAGCCCGGGGCUUAACCCCGGGUCUGCAUUCGAUACGGGCUAGCUAGAGUGUGGUAGGGGAGAUCGGAAUUCCUGGUGUAGCGGUGAAAUGCGCAGAUAUCAGGAGGAACACCGGUGGCGAAGGCGGAUCUCUGGGCCAUUACUGACGCUGAGGAGCGAAAGCGUGGGGAGCGAACAGGAUUAGAUACCCUGGUAGUCCACGCCGUAAACGGUGGGAACUAGGUGUUGGCGACAUUCCACGUCGUCGGUGCCGCAGCUAACGCAUUAAGUUCCCCGCCUGGGGAGUACGGCCGC